GACGAACGCUGGCGGCGUGCCUAAUACAUGCAAGUUGAGCGCUGAAGGUUGGUACUUGUACCAACUGGAUGAGCAGCGAACGGGUGAGUAACGCGUGGGGAAUCUGCCUUUGAGCGGGGGACAACAUUUGGAAACGAAUGCUAAUACCGCAUAAAAACUUUAAACACAAGUUUUAAGUUUGAAAGAUGCAAUUGCAUCACUCAAAGAUGAUCCCGCGUUGUAUUAGUUAGUUGGUGAGGUAAAGGCUCACCAAGGCGAUGAUACAUAGCCGACCUGAGAGGGUGAUCGGCCACAUUGGGACUGAGACACGGCCCAAACUCCUACGGGGGGCAGCAGUAGGGAAUCUUCGGCAAUGGACGAAAGUCUGACCGGGCAACGCCGCGUGAGUGAAGAAGGUUUUCGGAUCGUAAAACUCUGUUGGUAGAGAAGAACGUUGGUGAGAGUGGAAAGCUCAUCAAGUGACGGUAACUACCCAGAAAGGGACGGCUAACUACGUG
rnacentral:rRNA from 1 species